rnacentral:rRNA from 1 species
GACGUGGAAGACUAGUGUUAUUCAUCUUAAAUAGGUUUAAAGGGUACCUAGAUGGUAUAAUCUUGCCUGGGAAGGGAACAGAUUUACUAGAGUUUUAUGUGCGAAGGGGAGUAUUUUUGGUGUAGAGAUGAAAUUUUUUGAUACCAUUAGGACUGGUAAAGGCGAAGGCAACCUUCUAUGUAAAAACUGACGUUGAGGGACGAAGGCUUUGGUAACGAACAGG